CGCCCGCCCUCCCGCGCUGGAACGGAAACGCGCGGGUAGCCGGGUAGCCCGGUAGCCGGAAAGCUCCUCCGGCCUCGUUUCCUUGGAGAAAGCCCGGGACGGGAAAGACAGGUGCAAACAGCUUCAUGCGGCAUUUCUCCUCUUUUCCUUUUGAACAUCUUUUCGAACGUGCAGCUACGUUGAAAGAUUUCUACCGUGAGCACCCCCUAACGUCAUCUGACCUCUGUGUCAGGAAUAUUUUUGCCUGUCUGCAAGGACGAAGAAGUCUACAAGGAUCGGGAGGUGGAGGAAUGAAGGAACCCCUCAGAGGGGUGUUGCAGCGGUGGCGAAGCAAGUCCACCAUCCUUCGGCUUUCUCCUGGCCUUGUCGCCAUAAAAGACGCACCGAUUCCUCUUUCCGGAAGGUAGACAAGCAGAUGGGAGACAACAUCCUUGCAGGCCCAAUUUUGCUUUUGUUGAAUGCAAGAGAGAAUUCGGAAAUCUUCAUCUUUUCACCCGGAUGAUGAAGAAAAGAACACUGACAGAGGAGCCUAUUUCCGUGAGUCGAAGUGUGAGACUGUCAGAGGGAUCGGAAGAUGAAAGCAAAGGACUGGACUGGUAUAUGUUUGUUUGUUUUCUUAAGAUUAUAUUUAUUCAUUCAUUCAUUCAUUCAUUCAUUCAUUCAUUCACCAGAGAGGCAGAGACAUAGGCAGAGGGAGAAGCAGGCUCCAAGCAGGGAGCCCCAUGCGGGACUCGAUCCCGGGACCGUGGUGACAUCGCACCCUGAGCCAAAGGCAGACGCUCAACUGCUGAGCCACCCAGGCUUCCCAGGACUGGUCUCUAAAUGAGGAUGGUGAGAGGAGUUACAUGAGGGAGAUCUCCGACCUCAUAUGUGCAAAUGACCAUAUCCUAGAGAUGGAUUUUUCUGCAACUCAACAACACCGUAAGCCACGAACAUUUUCAACUGUUGUGUUUUUGACAAUGCAAGUGCGAGAAGAACCAGAAGUCGUGGCAAGCCAGAACCUGUUGGAGAUGCAUUUGAGGUCACCGACGGGUAUGACAGCCAAUGAGCAGUUCCUGCCUGGCAUUUGGAGGAUGUCCCCGGAUUCAGGUAUUUAGACCUUGAGAACCUGGAAAGUAUGAAGUCAUUUAAAAUGUGAGAGUGCUACGUUUAAAUCGAUUUUUAAUAAAGCUGUUUUCCGCUAUGGUU